GAGAGAGAAAGAACAACUUGUCAGAUGGUGCAUUGGAGACUGAUGUGUUCCUGUCCUGUCUUUUCACAAUACUAUUGCAGAUCAACAUAAAAGCCUAAAAGACAGCCGUGGUAUCGCUCUUCAUUUCUUGGUUCUCCUGUGGUACAUAAGAAACCCGCUACAUAAGCACGAUUGAAUAUAACACCAUAAAAGAUCAGCCUCAAUUCAUCGGGGCAUGGACUCUGCAAAGGGUCAAAACCAUUCCACUGGGAUGCUGGUCCAUAUACUGUACAUGAUUCAUCAAACCCUUCUCUGCCAAGGCAGAGUUAGAGGAAGAUAUGUAGCCUGGCAAAAGCAACUGACAUGGGCUGCACGUCAUCCAGGCCACCCAUCAGAGGACCCAGAGGACUUGCAGGUGACCAAGUGUUUCUCGGCCUUCUGGACUCCCCAGAAGAAG